rnacentral:rRNA from 1 species
AGCGAACGCUGGCGGCAGGCCUAACACAUGCAAGUCGAACGAACCUUUCGGGGUUAGUGGCGGACGGGUGAGUAACACGUGGGAACGUGCCUUUAGGUUCGGCAUAACUCAGGGAAACUUGUGCUAAUACCGAAUGUGCCCUUCGGGGGAAAGAUUAAUCGCCUUUAGAGCGGCCCGCGUCUGAUUAGCUAGUUGGUUGAGGUAAUGGCUCACCAAGGCGACGAUCAGUAGCUGGUCUGAGAGGAUGAUCAGCCACAUUGGGACUGAGACACGGCCCAAACUCCUACGGGAGGCAGCAGUGGGGAAUCUUGCGCAAUGGGCGAAAGCCUGACGCAGCCAUGCCGCGUGAAUGAUGAAGGUCUUAGGAUUGUAAAAUUCUUUCACCGGGGACGAUAAUGACGGUACCCGGAGAAGAAGCCCCGGCUAACUUCGUG